rnacentral:rRNA from 1 species
GACGAACGCUGGCGGCGUGCUUAACACAUGCAAGUCGAACGGAAAGGCCCUGCUUUUGUGGGGUGCUCGAGUGGCGAACGGGUGAGUAACACGUGAGUAACCUGCCCUUGACUUUGGGAUAACUUCAGGAAACUGGGGCUAAUACCGGAUAGGAGCUCCUGCUGCUUGGUGGGGGUUGGAAAUUUUAGGCGGUGGUGGAUGGACUCGCGGCUUAUCAGUUUGUUGGUGGGGUAGUGGCUUACCAAGGCUUUGAUGGGUGGCCGGCCUGAGAGGGUGACCGGCCACAUUGGGACUGAGAUACGGCCCAGACUCCUACAGGAGGCAGCAGUGGGGAAUAUUGCACAAUGGGCGGAAGCCUGAUGCAGCAACGCCGCGUGCGGGAUGACGGCCUUCGGGUUGUAAACCGCUUUCGCCUGUGACGAAGCGUGAGUGACGGUAAUGGGUAAAGAAGCACCGGCUAACUACGUG